rnacentral:rRNA from 1 species
GCAGUCGAACGAUGAACUGGAGCUUGCUCCAGGGAUUAGUGGCGAACGGGUGAGUAACACGUGAGUAACCUGCCCUUGACUCUGGGAUAAGCGCUAGAAAUGGCGUCUAAUACCGGAUACGAGCUUCAGCCGCAUGGCUAGGAGUUGGAAAGAAUUUUGGUCAAGGAUGGACUCGCGGCCUAUCAGCUAGUUGGUGAGGUAAUGGCUCACCAAGGCGACGACGGGUAGCCGGCCUGAGAGGGUGACCGGCCACACUGGGACUGAGACACGGCCCAGACUCCUACGGGAGGCAGCAGUGGGGAAUAUUGCACAAUGGGCGAAAGCCUGAUGCAGCAACGCCGCGUGAGGGAUGACGGCCUUCGGGUUGUAAACCUCUUUUAGUAGGGAAGAAGCGAAAGUGACGGUACCUGCAGAAAAAGCACCGGCUAACUACGUGCCAGCAGCCGCGGUAAUACGUAGGGUGCAAGCGUUGUCCGGAAUUAUUGGGCGUAAAGAGCUCGUAGGCGGUUUGUCGCGUCUGCUGUGAAAUCUGGGGGCUCAACCCCCAGCCUGCAGUGGGUACGGGCAGACUAGAGUGCGGUAGGGGGAGAUUGGGAAUUCCUGGUGUAGCGGUGGAAUGCGCAGAUAUCAGGAGGAACACCGAUGGCGAAGGCAGAUCUCUGGGCCGUAACUGACGCUGAGGAGCGAAAGCA